rnacentral:rRNA from 1 species
UACGGAGGGAGCUAGCGUUGUUCGGAAUUACUGGGCGUAGAGCGCACGUAGGCGGCUUUGCAAGUUAGAGGUGAAAGCCCGGGGCUCAACUCCGGAAUUGCCUUUAAAACUGCAUCGCUAGAGUUGUGGAGAGGUAAGUGGAAUUCCGAGUGUAGAGGUGAAAUUCGUAGAUAUUCGGAAGAACACCAGUGGCGAAGGCGACUUACUGGACACAUACUGACGCUGAGGUGCGAAAGCGUGGGGAGCAAACAGG